UGAGGAAUAUUGCACAAUGGGCGCAAGCCUGAUGCAGCAACGCCGCGUGCGGGACGAAGGCCUUCGGGUCGUAAACCGCUUUUCUGGGGAAAGAGCAAGGACGGUACCUCAGGAAUAAGUCUCGGCUAACUACGUGCCAGCAGCCGCGGUAAAACGUAGGAGGCGAGCGUUAUCCGAAUUUACUGGGCGUAAAGCGCACGCAGGCGGCUCUGUGAGUCGGACGUGAAAGCUCCCGGCUUAACCGGGAGAGGCCGUUCGAUACUGCGGGGCUUGAGGUAGGGAGAGGAAUGCGGAAUUCCCGGUGUAGUGGUGGAAUGCGUAGAUAUCGGGAGGAACACCUGUGGCGAAAGCGGCAUUCUGGCCCUCACCUGACGCUGAGGGGCGUAAGCGUGGGUAGCAAACAG
rnacentral:rRNA from 1 species